rnacentral:tRNA from 1 species
GCGCUCGUAGCUCAACUGGAUAGAGCAUCUGACUACGGAUCAGAAGGCUGUGAGUUCGAAUCCCGCCGAGCGCACCA